GAUGAACGCUGGCUACAGGCUUAACACAUGCAAGUCGAGGGGAAACGACGGGGAAGCUUGCUUCCCCGGGCGUCGACCGGCGCACGGGUGAGUAACGCGUAUCCAACCUGCCUCUGACUGAGGGAUAACCCGUCGAAAGUCGGCCUAAUACCUCAUGGUAUCGUCUGCGGGCAUCCAACGACGAUUAAAGAUUUCAUCGGUCAGGGAUGGGGAUGCGUCUGAUUAGCUUGUUGGCGGGGUAACGGCCCACCAAGGCUACGAUCAGUAGGGGUUCUGAGAGGAAGGUCCCCCACAUUGGAACUGAGACACGGUCCAAACUCCUACGGGAGGCAGCAGUGAGGAAUAUUGGUCAAUGGGCGAGAGCCUGAACCAGCUAAGUAGCGUGCAGGAAGACGGCCCUAUGGGUUGUAAACUGCUUUUAUGCGGGGAUAAAGUGAGGGACGUGUCCCUCAUUGCAGGUACCGCAUGAAUAAGGACCGGCUAAUUCCGUG
rnacentral:rRNA from 1 species